UUCGUCGCAUCGAAUUUGCCAAUAAUAGACCUUCGCAUAACAGUUGUUUCAAACUGUUAUAUUCUUUUUCGUGCAUUUCUGUCUAAUCUUUUUUUACGUGCUUAUCUUGUCUCAGGUGUUCAUAGUAUUGGCACGUUGUCUGCGCAUAUCCCAGUAUAAACUUCUGAUAAUAGAGCGCUAAUCCGAGGAAUGACCUUAACUGUCUUUCGGUUUGAUGGCCUUUGAAUUCUUAUACUGCAGUGACCUUUUUCUGGUCCAUUCUAAUUCCGUCCCCGCCGAAGAUGUGACCAGAAAUCCCAUUUCUUUCAUUCCAAAUUCACACUUUGUUGGUUUUAUCGUGAAUCCGACUUCGACCAGAAUCUGACUUUGUCGACGCACAUUUGAAAUGUUGGUGGUCCGUCGCAAAUUCCAAAUGGCAUUCUUUUAAACCGGUACAUGCCAUGCCGGUACAUGCCCACCGGUACAUGUUACAAAGGUCGUCUUGUCUAUUGACGCCGGAUCCAUUGGAAUUUUCCAAAAUCCGCUUUUUAAGUCCAUUUUCGCGUGUUAUUUGUUGCCUGCGCACGCAUCAAACAGUUCAUCCGGGUUCCCUAACGGCACUACUGGAAAACUCAAGUCAGCAUCCGGUGGUUCAAUGACGCCUUGCGCCAGCAUCUCUUCAAUAUGUUUUGUUAUAAAUUCCCGAUCUCUCCAACUGGUUCUGGCCGGAUUACAUUUCACCGGUUUCGCUUAAUGGAUUAUUGUGCGCCUGUCGUUUUUCCGCUGCUUAAAACCUCCAAGGAUAAAGUUGAGCGUUGUAUCGAAAAGUUUGUGUCCUCGGUGCGUCUCGGCAACGAAACUUGUGAAUAUCGGCUCAGGCUGGAAGAACUCCACUGGGAUAAUUUCAGAAUACGA